UUCCGUCCUUAGCCAGCCGGUGGUGUCACUCACCAACAGUGGAGACUUCAAACCUAUUUGAACAUAUCUUUCUCUACUGAAUAGGGCAUUAGAGAAGUUCCUGUGUUGUUGUUUCGAUGGUCAGCCAUGGAUGAAGACGACAGCCAAGAUGAGCUGAUUAACCGCAGUUCAUCUCACAGCAAAGGAAAAAGAGCUGCAUUAUGGGCCAUCUCAGAUGACUCAGAUGAUCUCGACGAGGAAUCUGAAGAGGAAAACUCUGAUAGUGGUGAUGAUGAAGAAGAGCAUAUUGCCAAUGGAGAAGACGAUGAGGACGAAGAUAGUGAGGAAGAGGAUGAUAAUGAAGAGGAGGAAGAUGCUAAGUCAGGGAAAGAAACCUUUGGGGGAAAUUCUGCUGACUUUGCAGAGAUGAGUUCAGACGAGGACAGAGAAAAGUGUCCCAUCUGCCUGAACUCAUUCAAUAGCCAACCUGUUGCAACACCAGAGAACUGUGAGCACUACUUCUGUUUUGACUGCAUCCUAGAAUGGGCUAAGAAUGCAAACUCAUGUCCUGUGGACCGCAUUGUCUUUGACAACAUAUAUCUGAGGAAAUCUUAUGGAGGAAAAGUAAAGAAAAUUGUCACGGUUCAGAAGCCUGUGAAGGCAGGUCAGGAGGAAACGGUAGACUUGGACCUGGAGCAGACCAAUUGUGAGGUGUGCGGGGGCAGUGACCGUGAGGACCGACUCUUGCUCUGCGACGGCUGUGAUGCGGGGUAUCACAUGGAGUGCCUCACGCCUCCUCUUGAUGCUGUUCCUGUUGAGGAAUGGUUUUGUCCUGAGUGUGAGGCCAACAAUCGCCAGUCAAGAGGUUCAGCUGAGGAGAUCAGUGACACAGACAGCCUGUUCUCUACUCCCCGUCCAGCUACCAGUAGGUCUCGAACUCACACCACUGGUCCCACCAGGGCUAUCGCCCGAACGCAACAGAGUGAGAGAGUUCGAGCCAACGUCAACCGACAUCGCAUAACCCAGGCACGCACGUCGCAGUUGGCUCCAACAUAUCUGAUUCAGUCGACUUGGCUAGAUGAAACCAUUAAUGCUGUGGUUGCUGGACUCAACACCGCUGUGUAUGUACGGGACAUCACUCCUCGGGCGCCAUCGAGUCGGAGACGCAAAACUGGAAAACGUAGGAAGGUGAGAAGAAACAAGACAUCUACUAAGGGGAAAAAUUGUCAAGCAGAAAACACAGGAGUCAAAAGGAGAAAACGAAGAGCAAGGAAGAGCAAAUCUAGGAAAAAAGCUAUUGAAAGAAAGGUAGCCACUCCAAGAAGCCGUAUUGCCAGUAAUCUAGGAAUUGUAAAGGAUAAGAAGAGCUCUUCACUUCCAACAGUAUACCGACCAUCAGAGAACACUUUGAGUAGCAUGCGUGCCGACAUUGGAGCUGCAUCACUCUCCAUCUAUGGAGAUCCAUUUGAUCUGGACCCAUUUACUGACCAUGAAGAGGUUGAAGAGCAAGCCCAGGUUACAUCGCUGUUGGAGGCAAAAAGGCGAGGGAUCUCUCGAUCUGCUCUUCGCUCUCAUCAACCUGUGGCUCGUCCAGUCACUGCAGGCCUCUCCAGGAGAGGUGUGGACGUCGCUCACUCGGCGGGUGUUGUGGAGGCUGCUCCUGUCCCUGAUCUACUGGGAAGCAUCCUGUCUGGACAGAGCAUGCUCCUGAUGGACAGUUCUGAUGUCGUCAUUAGUCGAGAUGGUUCUCUUAAAGCUUCAAAGCCAAUGAUCCAACCUACCCCAGUUCCAAGCAGCAGGAACACCAGUAGUUCAAGUGAUACCAGCGCCCUCAACAGUCCAGGGUGUUCGUACAAUUUAGGAGACAACUCUGCAUCUCUGCACCACAAUGGGAGUCCACCAGGAUCCUCACCUACCUCUGUGAAUGGACUGUUGACACCAAGCUCAUCUCAUUUACCCUCCUUCAUGCCCCCCUCUGCCAACCACUACCAACCGAGGCCACAUUCUGACAUAACCUCUGGAGUGAAUCCAAGUUUGCCUUCUCGUGCAAACAGACCAGUAGCAGCCAAUGGCAUGAGAGCCCUAACAGAAACGCCUUCUUCAUCUGCUCACCCCAUUCAGGUUUCCAACUUUGGGGACAAAGGAACAACUCUGUCGCUGUCCCAACCUAAGAAAGCUCCCGUUAAACCCACGUGGGUAGAUGUGUCUGUGCUUCCUCGCAUACCGAAGAUAAAAAGAGAGAAUAGUAGCGUCACAAAUGACAGUGCAGGUCAUGGUGGCAUUUCUGACAGUAGUAGAGGAAGUAGAAAUUCUGCUGGAGCUGACGAUGGUUCUGGGUUGCCUAAAAGUGGCAUGAACAGCCUUUCUGGGGACAAAGGAAGGCGACAGAGUGUUGAUAAGCAGAAGGGCCACUCUGAUGGCCAUAAGAACAGGCCGGAAAGAGCUGGCUCAUCAUCAGCAUUCUCAAAUUCCUUCGCUUCCUCUUCCUCCACCACUCCUGCAAGCCAGACUCAGCAUGCGUCAUUUUCUUCAUCUUCGUCUGUAAGUUUUCGCAUCAAUUCCAGUGGGAACUCCUGGCACGCCAGGCGGCUCAGCAUAACGUCGCCCUCUUCAGCCGGAAGCAACAUAAAAGAACAGUGGAGGGAAAAAGAAGAGGAAGCAAAAAAGAAGCAAAUGCACAAAGACAAGAAAACACUUCUGGCAUCUUGUACAGUCACCAAGGAACAAGACAAUAUUUACGAUCCUUUUAAUCCCACGCUAUCUGAUUCGAGUAGCUCGAGCGACGAAGCCGAGCCCACAAGCCUGAACUUCAGCUCUCAAUUUGGCACUAACAGAGGGAAACCUUCUACUUUAGGAAGCAACAAGGGUUCAGUGCCAAGACGUUGGGAUGCAGUUCAGGUGAAAACUGAAUCAGAGGAGACAGAGUUUUCACAGGAAAUACCCAGGAGCUUGCAGCUUACUGUAACACCAGAAAUAAUAUUUCCCGCAGAUAGUAUCAAAGUUGAAAAGAAAUCCGAUUUAGCCGAAGUUAAGCAGGAGAAGCAAAAGUUAUUCAUUGAUACUGUCAUUAAAGAAGAACCAAGUUCAGAUGAAUAUGAAAGUUCUGAUGACAGGGUUCUAAGUGAGAGUGAGGUAAAAAGUGAGAGUGCAGACACCACAUCACUUUCUCAUCAGCAUAUUAAACACAUAAAAGCCGAGGAAAAUACUCAGCAGAACAGUGGACUUAAUGCCGAAACUUCCAGUAGAUCUUUUCUCAACUACAGGGAUGAUUCAUCGCCUUCCUGCUCGGGUUCCAUCUCAAAGAAACUGAUUGAAGAGACUAAAUCGGAUGAUUCACCAACCUGUGCCAGUACACUGAUGGGAGACUUGGGCCAUAGGAAGCAAACCUCCAAAACGUCAAAGGAUCAACAUCCCAGUAGCUCAGAGACAGACAGAGGCAGAAGAGAAGACCUUCACGCCUUGAAUAAGGAAGGCAAAAAGAAGGAAAGGGAAAAAGCCAGAGAGAAAGACAGGAGCUCAAGGCGAUCAAUAUCAAGAGAAAGAAGGAGGGCACACUCGACCUCUGACAGCUCCCAGCCCAACUCACCAGACAGAGCUUACAGGAAGAGGAGGCGGUCCCGAUCACGGUCCAGAGACAAAACGAGGAGGCGAUCCAGAUCUUGUUCGAGCUCUAGCAGCAGAGAGCGCUCAAAGAUGAAGAAGAAUAAAGGAAAGGAGCGAAAUGAGCACACAGAGAAAAGCAGAGUGUGCAAGGACAGAAGACGGGGUCGAUCACGUUCCAAAUCAAGGUCCAAGUCACGGUCUAGAUCCAGAUCGAGGUCUAAGGAUCGUAAGCGUCGCUUAUCUCGUUCAAGAUCUCGGUCUAGGGAAAGGAGGAAAGAUUGCGCCAGGCAACAUGCAACAGUCUCAUCCAGAGACAAAGUGGAUUCAAGAGCUAAAGAUGGGAGACAAAGGACUAACACCGGCUCAAGAGAGCGAAGGAAAGAUGAAGGAUCGACCAGAAGUACAGACAAAACUUCAGCUUCACAUGUUUCCUCCUCGAAAGGAACAAAUCUCCCACUGGAAAGAAAAAAGGAGAAGGAACUUACACAAAGAAGCAUAGAGAAGAACAAAUGUGCCGGAGUGAAAAAACAAGAGUUGCCUUCCUGUUCUUUUGUUUCUCAGGUAAAAGAUGAAGACAAAAACUUUGAAAGAAGAGAUAUCCCAGCUAAAGAAAUCCCAGUGGAAUUAAAAAAAAAAAAGGAAAUCAAAAAAGAAAAACCACAACCCGUGGAUAUGUUUGAAGAUUGUCCCAUUGGUAAAGAAAUUAAAAGUGAAGAAAAGGAUAAACCUUCUUUGUCAGUGUCCCAGAGCGAUGAUGAGAUAAUGGAGGAUCAGAACAAGACAGAGUUGUAUGAUACAACCAUAAUCAAAUCCGAGGCAAGUCCUACACAGGACUGCCCCUCACCGCCUGUCUCCUCACCUCCUACCCUGUCCACUGAAGACCCCCGCCAUGACUCAGUAUGUCAGUUUCAGCUAAGUUCAUUAGAGUCUGACAAACAACAAAACACAACAGGGGCGGCGGACUCUAUAAUACCGGAACCUUCAGAGUCUGACGAUGAUUUUAAUGUGGAUGUAAUGCUGGACAAUCUCGAUCACGUCAAAUCGGAGCCAGGAGAGGGUAGCGGUGCACGCGCUGACGAGGAGAAAGAAGCUGUGGAGGAGAAGGAAGAGGGGGAACCGACGUCAGCCGCAGCGGGAUCAAAGUCCAAGACUCAAGUGAAGCGCGUCACCUGGAACAUACAGGAGCCAGAGGGACCUCAGCCAGAGAAAUCUCCAAGCAAGCUAGCGCUGUAUAAGUUGAAGUUGAAGCAGGAAGGAUCUCGCAAACCCCCUUUGCCUGUCCAGGCAUCCACUCAGGUUAAAGCUGACAGAGAGGGUUCUUAGGGCUCACUUCAGCCUCUCAGCCUCCUAAAGAGCGAUUAUUGCUGCCCGUAAAGUGACAGGACCAGUCAAGCUCAUCAGCGGUGGCUUUAAAGACCUGAGACCCAGAGACCAGGUCCAGCACAGGACUUGUAGAAAAAAAAAAAAGGCAAGUCUGUGUAAUCCCAUUUCAUCCUUAUUAACUGACACGAAGCGACUCCACAGUUUGUGUCCUCGGUGUUCGAAAUAACGGAAAUAGUCUUUGAGCCGAGCUAGAAGGGUAAAACAGACACGUGGGUUAACUCGGGGUCACAAACAUGAUCGAAAUGUGUCUGAUCCUGUGUGGCCUUGUUUGUAGAUGGUCUUCUGUAUCUCCUCAUCUGACUUUAUAUCUUCUAACAGGUCAACCACUAUCAGUCCAUGUAGGUCUGCUGUGCUGCUCCCCUCUAUAAAUCCUAGCAGCAACAUCUCCAAGGGACAUUUCUCUAUUGUUCUGAGACAGCUCCUAUCUCCUGACCACUUUUGGAUAUGUGUGUAUGUGUGGCCAUUUCCCAGGUGUGUGGCCCUAUUAUCCACAUAUUUGAUAGUGCUGCUUUGGGGUUAUGGGUUAGGUUUAGGACUAAGGUGUGGAGAAGGCAGAGCGAAACAAUAGAAACAAGUGAAAGCCGGGGAGGUGGAGCAAAUACACACAGCUUUUCUAAAUUUUUAUUUGUUUAAAUUACAUGAAUAACUUUUAAUUCCAGUUAACAACUAUGCACCACUUUAUGUUGCUCAGUCAAAACUCCAAUACAAUGCACUGAAGAUUUUUGCAUGGAAAAACUUUAGUUAUCUCAAAGGACAGCAAUGGCAUCUUUCCUGAGACAUUUUUUUGCCAAUAGUUCUGUCAAAAUGGGAAGAAAAAUAUAUUAAAAUUUUUAGCUCUCUGUCUUUCUAGCUUUCAUUCAAACUGAUUUUGCAUAGUCAUCCUUGAAACACAUGGUCCCCUGCUGCUGAUGAAACCCGUCUCCACCACACUCACUCCUCAAAUGUUGAAAUGUUAUCUGCAGCUGUACAUCUUUACAAUCACUUUACAAGUUUACAUUAGGCCAAGUAGAUAUUUAUGUACAGCAGUGUUCACACUUAUUGACGCAUUGGAAACAUUCUUAAAAUAUAUAUAUUUUUUGUGCAGUAGUAUCUCCUCAUACUGAAAAAAAAAAUAUCUAUAACUUGAGUAUGGUUAAAUGACCCAUUAAAUAUAUGCAUUUUACUUUUAUUUUCAAUAAGCAAUAAUUGUUGUAUCCUCUUCUGUGGAAUAUUUUUUACCUUCCAAACAAUUGUACACAAAUUAAAAGUUGUGUUUUCUAAACAUUUUGAUGAAGGAUUAUAAGCAACAACUGUAAUAAACUUAGAAGUUUUUCCAUAGUAUUUGGCCAUACAUGUGGAGGGUGCUGUAUUAUAAAGUAAUGGUCAAGUGAAUUCUCUUCUAUUACAUCUUUCCUAAACAGCGGCAAAGCAAAGCAGGUUUUAUUGAUAGCCCACAUCAUCAGCAUUUAGUCUCAGACAGAAUCACGUGAAAAUGUUGCUGCCUCUGCUCUCUGUGCCUGUCUUCAGUUGUAUCUUCUAGGUAGCUCUUGUAAUUUGAUUCCUGGGAUUAACUUAAGUGAAAAAGUUUAAUCCUAACACUUUGAAGUGUGUAAGAGAUUAGCAUCCCAUCCAGGAACCCCUGAAAAAAAAAAAUCCACAAUUGUUAUUGAUCUAAAGAUAUCUGGCUGCCUUCUUUUCGCUUUGAACAUUGCUCUUUCUUUUCUGGCUUUUGCUCUGCAAGGGGAUGGCCCGUCUUUGCUCGGAAAAGUCACAAAGGCAGAGAGGAACACAAAGACGUGACUCACCGCUUUCAUUCAGUUAAAAUAAUUCUCCGUGGUUCUUGAAAGAAUCAGCAGGACCAGCAGACGGGUCACGUCACCAGGCCUCACUUUGCAUUCCACUCUGCUGAUCCACCCUGUCAAGAGUUUGUAUGUUUGCAAGUCCACCUUUUCUACAUGUGAGAAAAUUUGUCCUCAAGGAUGAAGACACCUACUUUGCUUCAUCCUUCCGCUCUCUGACGGACAUCUACAUGCCCCGCUCUACCAAAAAGAAAGGGGACAAUGCAAUGCAUUCUGACAGCUCCACCAAGCACAAGAAAUGGCUGCUGGCUGUCUCCGAUGCUACUGGGUUCCCCACCCUGUUCACACUCUUGGAAAUGUGUAGCUGUUUUUGCAGUUUUCACAGAAACAGGUUACUUUACAUAUGCAGUAAGCUUCUAAAAGACUAUUAUUACCGUUUAAGUUAAAGUGAGGUACAUCUGUUGGUCUAGUUUAAGAUGUAAUUUCCUUCUGUAACACCCUGCAAGAAUUUUUUAUUUUUAUUUUUUAAAAGGUGCCACUUUCAUCUG